GACGAACGCUGGCGGCGUGCUUAACACAUGCAAGUCGAACGAAGAGCGAUGGAGGCUUGCUUCUAUCAAUCUUAGUGGCGAACGGGUGAGUAACGCGUAAUCAACCUGCCCUUCAGAGGGGGACAACAGUUGGAAACGACUGCUAAUACCGCAUACGAUCUAAUCUCGGCAUCGAGGAUAGAUGAAAGGUGGCCUCUACAUGUAAGCUAUCACUGAAGGAGGGGAUUGCGUCUGAUUAGCUAGUUGGAGGGGGAACGGCCCACCAAGGCGAAGAUCAGUAGCCGGUCUUGGAGGAUGGAUCGCCAAAAUGGGACUGAGGCAAGGCCCAGACUUCUACCGGAGGCAGCAGUGGGGAAUCAUCCGAAAUGGAGGAAAGGCUGACGGAGCAAAGCCGCGUGAGUGAUGGCGGCCUUCGGGUUGUAAAGCUCUGUUUGUCGGGAAGAAAGGCCUUCUUGCGAAUAGUGAGAAGGAUUGACGGUACCGGAAUAGAAAGCAACGGCUAACUACGUG
rnacentral:rRNA from 1 species